rnacentral:rRNA from 1 species
GAAGGAUCAUUACUGUGAUUUACUACUACACUGCGUGAGCGGAACGAAAACAACAACACCUAAAAUGUGGAAUAUAGCAUAUAGUCGACAAGAGAAAUCUACGAAAAACAAACAAAACUUUCAACAACGGAUCUCUUGGUUCUCGCAUCGAUGAAGAGCGCAGCGAAAUGCGAUACCUAGUGUGAAUUGCAGCCAUCGUGAAUCAUCGAGUUCUUGAACGCACAUUGCGCCCCUCGGCAUUCCGGGGGGCAUGCCUGUUUGAGCGUCGUUUCCAUCUUGCGCGUGCGCAGAGUUGGGGGAGCGGAGCGGACGACGUGUAAAGAGCGUCGGAGCUGCGACUCGCCUGAAAGGGAGCGAAGCUGGCCGAGCGAACUAGACUUUUUUCAGGGACGCUUGGCGGCCGAGAGCGAGUGUUGCGAGACAACAAAAAGCUCGACCUCAAAUCAGGUAGGAAUACCCGCUGAACUUAA